GAAAUGCGAUAAGUAGUGUGAAUUGCAGAAUUCAGUGAAUCAUCGAAUCUUUGAAUGCACAUUGCGCCCCUUGGUAUUCCAUGGGGCAUGCCUGUUCGAGCGUCAUCUACACCCUCAAGCUCUGCUUGGUGUUGGGCGUCUGUCCCGCCCCCGCGCGUGGACUCGCCCCAAAUCCAUUGGCAGCGUUCCUUGCCCCCUCUCGCGCAGCACAUUGCGCUUCUCGAGGGCGGCUCCGGGACGCGAUCCAGCAAGAUGACCACCGUCUUUGACCUCGGAUCAGGUAGGGAUACCCGCUGAACUUAAGC
rnacentral:misc_RNA from 1 species